UGGACAUUUAUUUAAAGCAGUUUCUUCUUACAAUGAAGAAAACGUCCUACGGAAGUGUCUUUAGUAAAUGUAGCUCUUUGUACCCUCAGCAAAUAAAAAAAGUGCAAAGUUCCACUAUGGAUAAUU
rnacentral:snoRNA from 1 species